UACAGAGGGGGCAAGCGUUGUUCGGAAAUUACUGGGCGUAAGGGCGCGUAGGCGGCGUGCUAAGUCGAACGUGAAAUCCCCGGGCUCAACCCCGGGAACUGCGUCCGAGACUGGCAGGCUUGAAUCCGGGGAGAGGGAUGUGGAAUUCCAGGUGUAGCGGUGAAAUGCGUAGAUAUCUGGAGGAACACCGGUGGCGAAGGCGACAUCCUGGACCGGUAUUGACGCUGAGGCGCGAAAGCCAGGGGAGCAAACGGG
rnacentral:rRNA from 1 species